CGAUGGGGUGAUAGUAAUCCGGUGUUUGUGCAUAUCGAUCUGACGAUUCGGGAACAAAACUGGCAUUAUCACUUGUCCUGAUAUUGGGGAAGCAGCUUUCGGGAUAUAUAGUCGUAUUCUUAUCUGUAUGCUAUUGUACACAGAACUCUACGUAAGUGAAGAUUGCAAAACUAUCGAUUUGUAUGAAGCUAUUGUUGAUUUUCUCUCUAUUACAUAUAUUAUACUGGGGCGCAUUGAUCAGGUUACUCACUCACUUUCUGUUGUUUAUUUUUUGCUCUAAAUUUACAUAUGAAAGUCGUCUUUUUUUCAUGGUUGUACUAGUUGGGUUUUCGACAAUCUACAAUUGUCUAUUGAAUAUUUUGGCUUGAUAUAGAGCUGAAAACUAUGAUUCUACAAGGUAACUAAGGUGUCUUCUUUACAAAGUACAAGUACAAGAAGCUGAUGAUGUCUUUAGGUUCUUGAGUGUGUGUUGUGAUUUUUUUGUGGUUUGGAAAACAACAACUUUUGGAGCUUGGUGAUAGAACUGGAUUACAUUGUUGUCAAGAUACAUUGUUGUAAGGUUAAGCCAUCUAGAUACAUUGUUGUAAGGUUACAAUGUGGCUGCUUAAUCAUUUUUUAUAUAAGAAUUGAUUGAGUUCAUAAUAAUCAAGCAUGUGUUCUGUGUGGGAAUGAAGAAGAAGAAUGUUUAAUCUGGAUUUUAGAUUGGUUUGGUACUUAUAGCUUACACAGAGUCAUUAGACAGUAGAUAACACUUAAUUAAGAUUGUUUUAUUUUCUAUGGUGACAACAUUGUGUAUUGUUAUGUUGAGCAGCUGGGACAGAUAACUCAGACCAAGCAAGAGACUUUUCAUUGGCAUUGAAAAACAGAUUUUAUUUGCAGCCAUUGCCACCAACAGAAGCUGCAGCUAGAGCCCAAAGAAUCAGCUCAGGAUAUCAUAAAUGUGAAGUCAUUGAUCGAAAAGAAAGCUUGGCCAUAUGUUCAGAACGAUCUCCGUUCCAAGGCUUCUUAUCUUCGUUAUGAUCUUAACACAAUCAUCUCCUCCAAACCCAAGGAUGAGAAGAAGCCCCUCAAGGAACUCACCAAGAGGCUCUUCAAUACCAUCGGCAAUAUAACGUCGAGUGUGAUCAAUCUUAUCCGUACAACCGUCCGUACGGUUACGAGUUGGACCGUCCGUACAAGUCCAUGAGCCCGAUCACCAAGACAUGAAUAAGAGGCCGAGUUUCUCCUCUACAAAGGCCCAAGAGAAGAGAAGGAUCGAGAAGGCAUCUUGUAGCCGUUGGAGUGACAUGAUUCCUUAAGGGAAACCUCGAGAUGUCACUAUCACUAUAGGGAAUCGGCCUCUCUCUCUCUUUGUGUCGUUAUCAAGCUUGUAAAGGGUGUAGCCCUAUUCUUAUUUUCUAUUUAAGGCUUCUAGCCGACAUUGUAAUACAACUAUUCUAAUACAAUCUCUUUUCUUCAUUA